rnacentral:ncRNA from 1 species
CAGAGAAAAGGGUAAACUCAAUGAAAGGUAGGGGUGCAAAAGCCAUAGGGUCUAAGGUGCAUUUACAUUAUAACAGCAUGGCUGCCGCU